rnacentral:rRNA from 1 species
UACGUAGGUGACAAGCGUUGUCCGGAUUUACUGGGCGUAAAGAGCGCGCAGGCGGUCGUUCAAGUCGAGUGUGAAAGCCCCCGGCUCAACUGGGGAGGGUCACUCGAUACUGAUCGACUCGAAGGCAGGAGAGGGAAGUGGAAUUCCCGGUGUAGUGGUGAAAUGCGUAGAUAUCGGGAGGAACACCAAUGGCGAAGGCAGCACUCUGGGACGUGACUGACGCUGAGACGCGAAAGCGUGGGGAGCAAACAGG